rnacentral:rRNA from 1 species
UACGUAGGGGCCUAGCGUUGUCCGGAUUUAUUGGGCGUAAAGAGCUCGUAGGCGGUUUGGUGAGUCGGGUGUGAAAUCUCCACGCUCAACGUGGAGGAGCCACCCGAUACUGCCAUGACUAGAGUCCGGUAGGGGAGUGUGGAAUUCCCGGUGUAGCGGUGAAAUGCGCAGAUAUCAGGAGGAACACCGGUGGCGAAGGCGGGGUCUCUGGGCAACAACUGACGCUGAGGAGCGAAAGCGUGGGGAGCGAACAGG